rnacentral:tRNA from 1 species
GGAACGGUAGCUUGAGCGAUAAAAUUCUUGACAUCUAAUCAGGAAGAUCCGAGUUCGAUUCCCGGCUUAGUUCCC